rnacentral:tRNA from 1 species
CCUGGUGGCUCAGAUGGUAAAGCGUCUGCCUCCAAUGCGGGAGACCUGGGUUCGAUCCCUGGGUCAGGA